CAUAUCAAAAGGUUUCACGUUAUUAUUAAUCUUACGUUUUUUAAUAACGUCUUUAUAUUUUUGUACGGCGUAGCUUUUAAUUUUCGAAAACGAGGACACUCAUUAUCCGGUAAUGGUUGUGUUAAAGACCAUUUAACCGUCUCCUCAGCGCCUCUCUUCCACAACAAGAUAGUGAGUUCAUUAUUACGAGCGCGCCAAACGCUGUGCUAAGGAUUGUCUCCCUGGAACGGAUAUAUCCGCUAAACGUUCUUUUACAUGUUAAUCGUAUUUUAGGGCGUUUUCUAUCUUCUUUGGACCCGUGUUUAGGGCAUUUCACGUGCAUUUCUUGGAACUGAGUGAACGUCAGCUGAAACAUACGACCAGAAACUCCGAUAGGCCUAGUUCCGUAAAGCCUGCAGUGCGUGGGUGGCGCUGCAGUUUCGAGAAUGCGUUUGCCCUAGGCCUAGUAUCCAUUAGUAUGCAGUCCCUCUGUUUGGAGUGAAGAAGCUGCAUGUUAAAACUGCUUCUCUGCAGACACGGGUGUACCUAUUGUUGUAAACCUCGCCUCCACCAGCGUUUCUAGGAAUCAUUCAGGCAUUAAAACCAAACGCUCGUUUCACUGGAAAGCUCUCCUCAAGUGAUACAAGGGGCCAGUACUAAACACGGCGAAAUACAUUGGACGGCCCCCAAUCCCUAGUAGAUGUCGUAUCCGCGGUUACGUUCCUUGCAGUCCGUGCGGACUGCUUCUGUAGAAAUACGCACUAAAGCUGAAUUCAUCGUUCUUAAAGAUUUAGGUGACGAACAUUCUUAGCACAUGUCUGUCUCCAGACGAUUUGAAACCGGCCACGAACAAGACAUUUUGUAGCACGUUCAAGUAGCGUCCGUUCUGAAGGCGCAUGCAUGAACAGGGAGGAUUACGGGCUGCUCUAUGAGCAAGAGCCCGUGCUGGCAUAAGACCAGCUUAAUAUCCAACAACAACAGAACAGGGAGCAUAUUGAAGGAGCAACUAACGAGAAGUAGCCAAUUUGAAAGCACAUUCAACAGAGAAGCCUUGCAUCCGUCAAGUAAAGUGGUGAACUCGUAUUCAAAAGCCUCUAGUCAUUUGAACGCUUUCAAGAAAUGUCCAGAAUGAUAUGGUUUGAAAUUGCAGUUAAACUUGUCUGAAGCAGCAGUUUGAAACGGGAGUUCAGCUGGUCAGAGGGGAGUUUGAAAAAGCAGUUCCAGCUUGUUACAGGAAGAGAGUUUGAAUUGUAUGAAGUUUGAAACGGCAGUUGCAGCUUGACACAGGUCGAGUGUGAAUUGUCUAAAGUUGUUUGAGACGGCAGUUCCCGUGGCAGAGGUGUCUUAAAACUUCAGAAGUUUUAAAGUAAAAGAAGAAUCUUUUAUAGUCAUAUUUGUAACAACUAUACUGAAAGGAAAAAAGAAAAAUUAAAAUUUUUCAAGGUACUUCCUUAUCUUUAUUUAAACUUCCACAUUUAGUCAUCUGUCCGAUAUUGAAACUUGCAAUAUACAUUUUGAUCGUUUAUUUGUUAAAAGAAGACUCCUCGACUGUGUGUGUUCUUCAUGGUGACUCCUCCUUUCCCUUUUCUUCCUGGUGACUUGCAAC